CAGCAAGACGGUCAGGUGCUCCAAAACUGUCAUUGCAGGCUGGCAGAGGUGGUUAGGGUCUGGAAAGGAGGAUGUGAGAGGCACAAUUCUUAAUACCACAGAACUUCCAAUUCCAGGUGCUGAUGGCAAUUUUCUACAGAAAAGCAGCUUGUGGAUGCUUUAAGUUUGUAUUGCAAUUAAAUGCAUGUUUUAGUGCUUUGAACAUUUUUGUAAUAAUAAAAUGGCAGAUAUAGAAUAAAUUUAAGUACACUGGGACUCUGACUACUCAGGACUGCCUUUAUAGGGACUGGUGGUAGAGGUAUCUCUUUCUAUCCUGUGGGAUUAUCCAUAGAAUUCAGCUAGUGAUUACAAUGAAGCAUUUUAAGACAAACCAACGCCAGUGAUGGCUGCAAUGCAAAGUCUGCCCUGUAAACUGCAGUGUUUUGGGAGCUGAUUGACAAGCAGCUUAGACAUCUGGACACCAGGAGCAGAGCAGACAGCUGGAGCUGCCAACCUUUUCAGCUUAUCCCGAGUCCCAUUGUUGCCAUCUUUGUAUCUGCCAGUCCAAGCCUGGAAGUAAAACCAGCAAGCCAUAGUGCAAAGUUCCAAGUACCUCUGCCCAUCCUGGAAAUAAAAGGUAUUGGAAGACCAAUUUUCCCAUUGUGUUCAGUCUUUGGCCUCAAUGGUGCUCAUCUGUAUAUGGUAGGAUAUGGGAUAGUCCAGUGCACCAACUUCUUCCCUCCAGCUUUGGCCUCUACCAAAGCACAAUCCCUGCAUUAUCCACUGCCCACUGCUUCCUCCGAGACUUCCACAGGAGUGCCUAGGGAAGUCAAAUUAUGCUCCUAAGGUGCUGGCUGGCCCAGCAUAUAGAACAAGAUAUACUCUACAUAUCGUUGAAGGAAAUAGCAUUUAUAUUUCUGCUGUUCAAGGAGUCCUAAGGUCUGCUCAGUAACUAUGUUAAGCCCUCCUUAUACUUCAGAUUCACAGAUUUCAGGGGGCCAGUUGAGGGCAUAUAUUCCCAAGAACUCAUUCAAUCAGACCAAACCAGGAGGUUUAGGGAGUUUGCCCAGUCCUUUAAGUGACUUCAGCACUUCUUUCUCAGUGUACAUCCAGCAUGAAACAUUUCCUGCAAAAAAUUGUAGAUAUUGAAGAGAAAAUUUAAAAAGGCAUGUAGGCGCCUAACAUGUCACUCCAGAAGAAUGCAAUUGCCUGAAUUGAUGUCAUCCAUCUGAUUUCUUACACACCUGAAGAUGAGCUCCAGUAGGUACCUAGAAGUUUCUAACACAGCUCUGGUGACUGUCUCUGGAUCAAGUGCGUACUGUUGACGGUGCCUCUGGAUCACCCCCACCAGCUGAGCUUUG
rnacentral:lncRNA from 1 species